rnacentral:rRNA from 1 species
GUUUAGGUUAUAGAAGACCGUACCGUAAUCCGACACAGGUAGGUGGGAUGAGAAAUCUAAGGCGCUCGAGAGAACUCGCGUUAAGGAACUCGGCAAAAUGCACACGUAACUUCGGAAGAAGUGUGGCCCCUGUUUGGUUAAAGAGUGGGGGUGGCACAGAGCAGGCCCAGGCGACUGUUUAUCAAAAACACAGCCAUCUGCGAAUCAGCAAUGAGACGUAUAGGUGGUGACACCUGCCCGGUGCUGGAAGGUUAAGAGGAGCGGUUCGAGGUAACUCAAAGCUGUGAAUCGAAGCCCCAGUAAACGGCGGCCGUAACUAUAACGGUCCUAAGGUAGCGAAAUUCCUUGUCGGGUAAGUUCCGACCCGCACGAAUGGUGUAACGAUUCUGGGCACUGUCUCAACGCGAGACUCGGUGAAAUUUAUAUACCGGUAAAGAAGCCGGUUACCCACAGUUAGACGGAAAGACCCCGUGAACCUUCACCGUAACUUAUUAUUGGAUCUUGGUGUAGCAUGUGUAGCAUAGGUGGGAGACUACGAGACGUGGCCGUUAGGUUGCGUGGAGUCGACCAGUGAAAUACCACCCUUGCUACAUCAGGUUUCUAACCUAAUCCGUGAAUCCGGGUUGGGGACAAUGAUAGGUGGGCGGUUUGACUGGGGCGGUCGCCUCCUAAAGAGUAACGGAGGUGCGCGAAGGUCUCCUCGCGCUGGUUGGAAAUCAGCGUACGAGUGUAAAGGCACAAGGAGGCUUGACUGCGAGACUGACAGGUCGAGCAGGUACGAAAGUAGGUCUUAGUGAUCUGGCGGUAGCGAGUGGAAGCGCCGUCACUUAACGGACAAAAGGUACUCCGGGGAUAACAGGCUGAUUUUCCCCAAGAGUUCACAUCGACGGGAAAGUUUGGCACCUCGAUGUCGGCUCAUCGCAUCCUGGGGCUGAAGCAGGUCCUAAGGGUUUGGCUGUUCGCCAAUUAAAGCGGUACGUGAGCUGGGUUCAGAACGUCGCGAGACAGUUCGAUCCCUAUCUGCUGUGGGCGUUGGAUGAUUGAGAGGAGCUGCAUUUAGUACGAGAGGACCGAUGUGGACGAACCUCUGGUGUACCUGUUGUUCUGCCAAGAGCAAGUGCAGGGUAGCUAAGUUCGGAAGGGAUAACCGCUGAAGGCAUCUAAGUGGGAAGCCCACCUCAAGAUAAAUCAUCCCUGGGGGUUCGACCCCCCUAAAGACUCCAGAGAGACUAUCUGGUUGAUAGGCUGCAGGUCUACGCACGGUAACGUGUUCAGCCGAGCAGUACUAAUAGGUCGUGAGGCUUGACCGU